rnacentral:lncRNA from 1 species
AGGCAGAGAGGGAGAAAUAACAAGAAUGGAAGAGUCGUUCUUCCAAAAAGGGCCAUCUGUGACCCUGAGAGAUAAACCUGGCAGACCAGGGCUCACAUCUUAGUAAAUCACCUGUAAAUAAAGCUUGCAAGGGCAGUGACUGGAAGCUGGGAGAGAGGGUCAACAGCUGAAUCUCAGCCUGAUGGAGGCCACCAUUUAAUAAGUAAAUACAUGCACGGCUAUUUAGAUCCUGCAUCAGACAGGUCAUCAGAAAACAUGAAGCUAAAUGCAGUAAAGAAUUACUCUCUUGAACUCUUGAAAAUAUCAAAAACAUGAAGCUAAAUGCAGUAAAGAAUUAGUCUCUU